UACAGAGGUCUCAAGCGUUGUUCGGAUUCAUUGGGCGUAAAGGGUGCGUAGGCGGCGCGGUAAGUCGGGUGUGAAAUCUCGGAGCUUAACUGCGAGAGGCCAUCCCAUACGGCGCGGCUCGAGCCGUCCAGAGGCCGGUGGAAUUGCCGGUGUAGUGGUGAAAUGCGUAGAUAUUACAAGGAACACCAAUGGCGAAGGCAGCUUGCUGGGCCUUUUCUGACGCUGAGGUACGAAAGCGUGGGGAGCGAACAGG
rnacentral:rRNA from 1 species